rnacentral:rRNA from 1 species
AACGAGCGCUGGCGGCAGGCUUAACACAUGCAAGUCGAACGCAUCCUUCGGGGUGAGUGGCAGACGGGUGAGUAACGCGUGGGAACGUGCCCUUCAGUUCGGGAUAACCCAGGGAAACUUGGGCUAAUACCGGAUACGUGCGAGAGCAGAAAGAUUUAUCGCUGAAGGAUCGGCCCGCGUCUGAUUAGCUAGCUGGUGGGGUAAUGGCCCACCAAGGCGACGAUCAGUAGCGGGUCUGAGAGGAUGAUCAGCCACAUUGGGACUGAGACACGGCCCAAACUCCUACGGGAGGCAGCAGUGGGGAAUAUUGGACAAUGGGCGCAAGCCUGAUCCAGCCAUGCCACGUGAGUGAUGAAGGCCUUAGGGUUGUAAAGCUCUUUCGUCCGGGACGAUAAUGACGGUACCGGAAGAAGAAGCCCCGGCUAACUUCGUGCCAGCAGCCGCGGUAA